rnacentral:piRNA from 1 species
UGAGAAAAUUGUCGAGAGCAGGACAGG